GCGGGCUGUGGUGGAUCGCGGGGCCCGCGACGCUGCUCGCGGCGGUCUACGGCGCGCUGCUGCUGCGCGGCCCGUUCGAUCCGCUCCAGCCCGCG
rnacentral:tRNA from 1 species